rnacentral:rRNA from 1 species
UACACGACCGUACCGCAAACCGACACUGGUGCGCGAGAUGAGUAUUCUAAGGCGCUUGAGAGAACUCAGGAGAAGGAACUCGGCAAAUUGACACCGUAACUUCGGAAGAAGGUGUGCCUUUAGUAGGUGAAGUCCCUCGCGGAUGGAGCCCAAUGAGGUUGCAAAAAAUCGGUGGCUGCGACUGUUUAUUAAAAACACAGCACUCUGCAAACACGAAAGUGGACGUAUAGGGUGUGACGCCUGCCCGGUGCUGGAAGAUUAAAUGAUGGGGUGCAAGCUCUUGAUUGAAGUCCCAGUAAACGGCGGCCGUAACAAUAACGGUCCUAAGGUAGCGAAAUUCCUUGUCGGGUAAGUUCCGACCUGCACGAAUGGCGUAACGAUGGCCACACUGUCUCCUCCUGAGACUCAGCGAAGUUGAAAUGUUUGUGAUGAUGCAAUCUCCCCGCGGAAAGACGGAAAGACCCCAUGAACCUUUACUGUAGCUUUGUAUUGGACUUUGAACAGAUCUGUGUAGGAUAGGUGGGAGGCUUUGAAGCAGGGUCGCUAGAUCUUGUGGAGCCAACGUUGAAAUACCACCCUGGUGUGUUUGAGGUUCUAACCUAGGCCCGUAAUCCGGGUUGGGGACAGUGCAUGGUAGGCAGUUUGACUGGGGCGGUCUCCUCCCAAAGUGUAACGGAGGAGUUCGAAGGUACGCUAGUUACGGUCGGACAUCGUGACGAUAGUGCAAUGGCAUAAGCGUGCUUAACUGCGAGACUGACAAGUCGAGCAGAUGCGAAAGCAGGACAUAGUGAUCCGGUGGUUCUGUAUGGAAGGGCCAUCGCUCAACGGAUAAAAGGUACUCUGGGGAUAACAGGCUGAUACCGCCCAAGAGUUCAUAUCGACGGCGGUGUUUGGCACCUCGAUGUCGGCUCAUCUCAUCCUGGGGCUGUAGCCGGUCCCAAGGGUAUGGCUGUUCGCCAUUUAAAGAGGUACGUGAGCUGGGUUUAAAACGUCGUGAGACAGUUUGGUCCCUAUCUUCCGUGGGCGCUGCAGAUUUGAGGAAGCCUGCUCCUAGUACGAGAGGACCGGAGUGGACGCACCUCUGGUGUAUCGGUUGUCACGCCAGUGGCAUUGCCGAGUAGCUAUGUGCGGAAGAGAUAACCGCUGAAAGCAUCUAAGCGGGAAACUCGUUUCAAGAUGAGAUCUGCCGGGGCCUUGAGCCCCCUGAAGAGUCGUUCAAGACCAGGACGUUGAUAGGUCGGGUGUGGAAGCGCAGUAAUGCGUUAAGCUAACCGAUACUAAUUGCUCGUGCGGCUUGAUCAA